ensembl:rRNA 5S_rRNA 5S ribosomal RNA
GUCUACGGCCAUGCCACCCUGAACAAGCCCGAUCCCAUCUGAUCUCGUAAGCUAAGCAGGGUCAGGCCUGGUUAGUACUUGGUUAGUACGAGGGAGACCACCUCGGAAGAUCAGAUACUACAGGCG